UACGGGGGGAGCAAACGUUGUUCGGAAUUACUGGGCGUAAAGGGCGUGUAGGCGGUCCCGUAAGUGGUGUGUGAAAUCCGAUGGCUCAACCAUCGAGCUGCGCUCCAUACUGCAGGACUUGAGUACAGCAGAGGAAAGUGGAAUUCCCGGUGUAGCGGUGAAAUGCGUAGAUAUCGGGAAGAACACCCGUGGCGAAAGCGGCUCUCUGGGACGGUACUGACGCUGAGACGCGAAAGCGUGGGGAGCGAACAGG
rnacentral:rRNA from 1 species